GCUUACGGCCAUACCAGCCCAAGAAUGCCUGGUCUCGUCUGAUCUCGGAAGCUAAGAAGGCUUGGGCCUGGUUAGUACUUGGAUGGAGACCUCCUGGGAAUACCAGGUUCUGUAAGCU
ensembl:rRNA 5S_rRNA 5S ribosomal RNA